UACGAGGGGUGCAAGCGUUGCUCGGAAUUAUUGGGCGUAAAGGGUAGGUAGGUGGUCUCGUUUGUCUGGGGUGAAAGCCUUGAGCUUAACUCAAGAAGUGCCCUAGAAACGGCGAGACUGGAGUCCUGGAGAGGGUCGUGGAAUUCCCGGUGUAGCGGUGAAAUGCGUAGAGAUCGGGAGGAACACCAGAGGCGAAGGCGGCGACCUGGACAGGUACUGACACUCAACUACGAAAGCGUGGGGAGCAAACAGG
rnacentral:rRNA from 1 species